CCACGCCGUAAACGAUGAGUGCUAGGUGUCGGGAGUCAAAUCUCGGUGCCGCAGUUAACGCAAUAAGCAUUCCGCCUGGGGAGUACGGUCGCAAGAUUAAAACUCAAAGGAAUUGACGGGGGCCCGCACAAGCAGCGGAGCAUGUGGUUUAAUUCGAAGCAACGCGAAGAACCUUACCAGGUCUUGACAUCUGAUUAAAGCUGUAGAGAUACAGUGUGUGCUUGCACGAAUCAAGACAGGUGGUGCAUGGUUGU
rnacentral:rRNA from 1 species